rnacentral:misc_RNA from 1 species
GAUGAAGAACGUAGCGAAAUGCGAUACGUAAUGUGAAUUGCAGAAUUCAGUGAAUCAUCGAAUCUUUGAACGCACAUUGCGCCUGCCAGCACUCUGGCAGGCAUGCCUGUUCGAGCGUCAUUUCAACCAUCAAGCCCUAGGCUUGCGUUGGAGCCCUGCGGCUGCCGCAGGCCCCUAAAAGCAGUGGCGGGCUCGCUAUCACACCGAGUGCAGUAGAUUACUCUUCGCUCAGGGCGUGUGGCGGGUUCCAGCCGUGAAACCCCCUACUUCUCAAGGUUGACCUCGGAUCAGGUAGGAAUACCCGCUGAACUUAAGCAUAUCAAUUAGCGGAGGA